GAUGAACGCUAGCGACAGGCCUAACACAUGCAAGUCGAGGGGCAUCGAGGUAUCAGCUUGCUGAUACGCUGGCGACCGGCGCACGGGUGAGUAACGCGUAUGCAAUCUGCCUGUAACCAGGGGGAUAACCCGGAGAAAUCCGGCCUAAUACCCCAUAAGGAUGUCUGUCCGCAUGGGCGGUCAUCUAAAGGUUUUCCGGUUACAGAUGGGCAUGCGUUCCAUUAGCUGGUUGGCGGGGUAACGGCCCACCAAGGCGACGAUGGAUAGGGGUUCUGAGAAGAACGGUCCCCCACAUUGGAACUGAGACACGGUCCAA
rnacentral:rRNA from 1 species